UGGUAUGUCAUGUGUAGGCAAAGGCAAUAAAGCCACAAAAGCAUUAUUUAUGGAUCAGCUCUGGUGAUACAUAAGAGGUUUAUGAAUUGCAAAUGUGUACAAUGCACAAUAAAAUAUACUAGUAGUGCGACGGCGUAAUGCUACGGUUGCGCAGUGCAAGACUUCCGUAUCUAGCUAUCUACUGUAAAUAACGUUACAACAAAUAGCUUUCUAGCAUAUUUAGUAACUACUAGACAAUUUAGCACCUAGAACGUGUCGUAUACGAAAGGCUAAGAAGAAAUUGAUACAAUUUGGAUUUAUUUGUGCGAUCUACCGUUGGUGUUGAACUAACCACGUACUAUUAGCUACCAGUUAAACAGACGCUGUUGCUAGCAGCAAGCUAGCUUUGUGUUAGAUCCAGGCUAGCUAACUAAUUAUCAACAUUUUAGGCCUGCUUUUGUUUUCAUCUGAUAUGGACUUGAGAAACUAGCUAACUUCAUCAAAUAUUUGGCAGCCAUCAAAUGAAUAUUUUUUUGCUUUCAAAUAAAUUCAAAUAUUAUUUGGUUUUCUGAGAGGUAUUCAAAAUAUAUUCAAAUAAUAUUUGGUUUUCUGAGACUUGUAUUUGAAUAUCAAAGAAAAUAUAUAUUUUUGAAACUCUAACCUCAAGUGAAAAGUUGGUAUUUUCAAAUAAACUACAAAUACAACUAUUUCCUGGCCAGGUCUGGACAGAAUGUGAGCUUCCCCUUAUCCCACUUUAUCCCUCUCCCUACUUAUGUAAAUAAUACCUAUGGUAAAAACGUUUUUCACAUUUUCUUUAUAGAUUGUUUUUUAAAUCAUGGUUUACACCCUGCUGUAUCCUGUGCAUAUGACAAAUAAUAUUUGAUUUGAUUGGAUUUGGCACGUCAACAUGUGACAUGUCCCUGAAAAAUAAAGCAAAAGGAGCACUCUGUGUCUGCAUAGAUGUUUAGAAGAAGUGCAAUAUCAUUCCUUGAGCAAUACAUAUGUAGCAGACAUGAGUCUGGCUCAAGUUCUGGUGAUGUGAGAGCCCUCCUCUUGGUCUAAUGGUCAAGACGUUGGAGACCAGGAUUCAGAUCUCUCCCACGACACAUACACUGUAUCAUAGGAAUCAAAAUUUAGAGUGGUCAUACAGAAUGUAACAGAAGAUGAUUGUGGAGAGUACUACUGUGCAAUGAAAGAAAAACAACAGUUCCUGUUCAACAAUGGCAACAGACUCAUCACCAUUAUAUGGCGUGAUACAGCUGGUACCCCCACCAAGAGGACCAAGGCCCGACCGCAUAGCCUCAACUAUUUACUCCAGAGUCCAGUUUUCAAAUCCUGAACUCACAACUACUGCUUAAUAAGAAUGCUGACACCACUGCUGGAAGCAACAGGGAGUUUUUUUUGUUGGUUGGUGACAUCGGAUCCGGGUGCCGCCGCCGAUGGAACCGAGGGGUGCCUCAGCUGGCGGGUCGGCCUUCCACACCUUAGCUGGCUCGAGAGGUUUCCUUGCCCCGGUUGGUUCGGCAGGUUCCCACCCCACAUCAAUCCUCAGCCGGUCUAUCAGGCUCCCACGCCUCAGCCGUUUUGUCGGUUCCCACGCCUCAGCGGGAUCGUCGGGCUUUCACGCCUCAGUCGGAUUGUCAGGCUCCACGCCUGAGUCGGCUCACCAGGCUCCCAUGCCUCUGCCGGUUCGUUGGCCUUCUACACCCCAGCUGGCUUGUCCAGCGCCCAUGCCUCGGCAGGCCCAUCAGGCUCGCCCAGGUGGGACGCCGGGUGGCGCCCCUAGAGGGGGGGGUACUGUCACACCUGCUCUCCCUCUCUGGCGCUCUCUGGCACCAAACAGCCUUCAUUACGCACACCUGUCACCAUCAUUACGCGCAGCUGCGCAAUAUUUUACUCACCUGGACUCCAUUACUUUGUUGAUUAUCCCCUCUAUAUUGGUCUACUCCUCACUUUAUUCCCUGUGUCAGAAUUAAUGUCGUUAUGUUUUCAUUUCCAGACGCUGUCCUGUCCUGUUCCAUGUCAGUUGUUCAUUAAAUGUUCACUCCCUGUGCCUGCUUUUCGUCUCUACCAGUGUCUGUCCUCACAGGGUGAAAACACAUUAAAGCAGUUACAUUGCAUGUAAAACAGUACAUCAUAUAACAUUAUUAGUUGCCUGAUGUGGAAUAGAGUUCCAUGUAGUCAUGGCUCUAUGUAGUACUGUGUGCCUCCCAUAGUCUGUUCUGGACUUGGGGAUUGUGAAGAGACCUCUGGUGGCAUGUCUUGUGGGGUAUGCAUGGGUGUCAGCUUCUCAACACUUCUUACAAAAACCAAGUAGUGAUGACGUCAAUUUCUCUUCCACUUUGAGCCAGGAGAGAUUGACAUGCAUAUCAUUGUUAGCUCUCCGUGUACUUUUAAGGGCCAGCCGUG